CAUAUCGCACCCUUAGAAUGAAAGUGACCGAAUCCAAAAAAUGCAAUUUGUGGGAAAUGAGCAAAAUCGUCAUCAAAAAAUUAUAUUACUGAAUACAUCUUAAUAUAUCUCUUCCGUUUUUAAUGGCUUACUAUUGAUUUUUACCAGAUUUGUGGAUUAGCCUUUUGAGAUCACAAUGACAAUGCAAAUUUAUGUUUAUAGUAUUUUUUUAUAUAUAUUUUAACAUAAAAUAUAAAGUAGUUUCAAAUUAAGUCACUUUAUUUCAAAAUUAUGUUUGCCAUUCUUUGUUUUUUUAAGAAUUAAGUCUGUUUAUGACACAUAUUGGAAAUAAUUCCGUAGACACAUUAAAUAAUAGGACACUGUCAUACUGAAAGUUAUUUGGACAUAGGGUAUUAAAUUAAAAUGCAAUGUUAUAAAAUCUGAAUGUAUUUAUUUAUUUCAGUCUUAAUAACAUUUAUUCAAGUUACUGAUUCGUUGUCAGUAAUUGAGAAAACAAAAUCUACGGGACCUUUGCUUGUGUUUGUGAAUAAAAUAACAGAAUGUAUCCAAAUGAGCAGGCAAUGUCUAUUAACCUCCUGCUUCUAUUGUGGAGCCUUAAUGUGGCUAUAAGUAGAACAGAGGAUCAAAUUCCUACUCAAGUCUGCACAAAAUAACAAAUCACUUCUGCAAUGAAACCUUUAGUGGCAGAAAAGUGAUAAAUAUAUCUUUUAAACAGUUCCGUUAAAAAGUCUACAAUUGGAGUCUUUAUGCAGUUCUAACGCGUACAUCAGCGGCAAUAGAAACUUUUUAGCAGCUUUAACCUUUAAACAUAAUUGUUUGAACUCUCUUUUAAAGAUGUAGGCUGCAAAUGGGUUGUAGAAUGAUCUCUUGUAAAACCCAGAGUGACAUUUGGUUCAGUUACUGCUGCCUUUAGUGAUAUUUACAGCUAUGAGUAGCUACGGAAGCAAUAGUAGAACUUAAAGAUACUUUCGGAACCCCUAAAGCACUACUGUACAACUAACAGUUGCCAAAUAGGCUGCUAUUUCCACUAGUGUGCUAGUUGGGAUGGUUCUACUAGUUGGUUAGACCACUGCGUAGUGACAGACGCGGCGUGGAACACUGUUAGAGACGCUAGUGUGCUCUAUGACGUGUCAUGGUCGGACCAUUUACCUCUAAUUAUAAAGUGUGAUCUUAAGUUAUUAAGGCCAAAAUUUGCACCUGCACUUCCUAAAUGUAACAAAGUAACAUGGGGUGACAGAGCUUUGCAGCAGACUGAGUUAUAUAGCAAUUAUUGUAAUGAUCUCUUGAAAAAUGUAGACUUUCCCUUAGAAUUUACUGAAUGUAGUAAAACCACAUGUAGAAUUAAGAAACAUGAAACUAUUUUAGGCAAUAUUUAUGCGGAAAUUGUACGUAUACUCUGUGAAGAUCGCAAGUAACUGUAGGAACGGAUUACAGCGCAAAAAGAGUUACAUAACGGGCUGGAAUAAGCAUGUGAAGGACGUACACAGACAGGCUCGGAUUUUCAAACCUGGACGUUGUUUGGUAGACCGAAAAAUGGUGAUUUAUAUAAAAAAAUGGUGGAAAGUAGAAAGGUUUUUAAAAGUAAAUUGAAAUGGUGCCAAAAUAAUAAGGACCAAAUAAAAAUGGACAUCAUUGCAAGUCAUCAUGACGCAAAGAAUUUUGGUAGUUUUUGGAAAGCCACGAACAGGUUGAAUCAAAGGUCGGGUCUGCCUGUGAGUAUUGAUGGCCUUAGUGAUCCUGGUGAUAUCGCCAACCUAUUUAGUAGAACCUUUAGGGUUGGGUCUCCCCAGGGUACGUCAUCUGGUGGGCUGGAGGUGGUGAGGGGGUCUGAAGACAUGCCUAUUAGGUUUACGGGAGGUAGCUACUGUCAUACGCAACUUAAAGAGAGGCAAGUCGCCGGGUCAUGACAGCCUAAGUAUAGAGCAUUUGCUGCAUGCUGGUAAGCACUUACCGCGAGUGCUA